rnacentral:lncRNA from 1 species
AAGCGGGAACCACUCAUUCAACCCCUCCACUCCCUCCCAGUACAGCCUCAGUGCCCCUCCAGUCCCUCCCAGUACAGCCCAGUUCAUCCUAGUAUAUCCCCAGUGCUCCUCCAGCCCCUCCCAGUACAGCCCAGUUCAUCCCAGUACAUCCCCAUUGUCCCUCCAGUCCCUCCCAGUAUAGCCCAGGUUAUCCCAGUACAGCCCCAGUGCCCCUCCAUUCCCUCCCAAUACAGCCCAGUUCAUCCCAGUACAGCCCCAGUCCCUUCCAGUACCCUCCAGUGUCCCCCAGUAUGUCCCAGUAUCACUCCCAGUUUGUCCCAGUCCUCCCCGUGUCCCCUCAGUGUUCCCAGUACUCCCAGUAUUCCCCAGUCUCUCCCAGUAUCACUCCCAGUAUGUCCCAGUCCCUCCCAGUGCCCCCCAGGCCUAACCUCGUUCUGGCCCCGCCCCCUUAGUCCAUCCCAGAUCCCUCCCAGUAUAUCCCAGUCCCUCCCAGCCCCUCCCAGUUUGUCCCAGUCCCAUCCCAAUUUGUCCCAGCCCCCUCCCGAUCCCUCUUCAUCCCAGUUACCCUCCAGCCCUCCCCAGUUUCUCCCAGUUUGCCCAGUUCUCUCCCAGUCCCCCCCAGUUUGUCCCAGUCCCGCCCUGCUCAGGAAUUCCAGUGACUCAUCCCCCACCAGUCCCUCCCAAUUCCCUUCCAAUCCCUGCCAGUAUAUCCCAGUCCCCUCCCAGUCCAUCCCAGAUCCCUCCCAGUAUAUCCCAGUCCCUCCCAGCCCCUCCCAGUUUGUCCCAGUCCCAUCCCAAUUUGUCCCAGCCCCCUCCCAAUCCCUCCCAGUUCUCUCCCAGUCCCUCCCAGUUUGUCCCAGUCCCACCCUGCUCAGGAAUUCCAGUGACUCAUCCCCCACCAGUCCCUCCCAAUUCCCUUCCAAUCCCUCCCAGUAUAUCCCAGUCCCCUCCCAGCCCCUCCCAGUUUGUCCCAGUCCCACCCUGCUCAGGAAUCCCAGUGACUCAUCCCCCACCAGUCCCUCCCAGUUCCUUCCAGUUUGCCCCAGUCCCCUCCCAGUUUGCCUCAAUCCCCCCCCAGUCCCCUCCCAGUAUACCCCAGUCCCUCCCCCUGGGACCCUCUGGAAUUUCUCCUCCCUGCCCAGGGAUCAAAGGUCACGGAAUGGAGCGGGAAAGUCUCGGGGCACUGGUGAUACUGGGAGUUCUGUCCCUGGCCAGAGGAGACCCCCCUGGUGAGUGACUGAGACAGACUGGGAUGAACUGGGAUGGAACUGGGACGGACUGGGAGGUACUGGGGAGGGACAGGGAGGGAACUGGAAAUGGACCAGGAUGGAACUGGGAGGGACUGGGAAUGGAUUGUGAGGGAAAUGGGACAGACUGGGAGGGACGGGGAUGAGCUGGGAGGGUCUGGGUCAUACUGGGAUAGAAAACCCAUACUGGUUUAUACUUGGUGGGAGAGGUCUGUACCAGUUCAUACUGGUUCAUACUGGAAGGGAGGCUCCAGACUGGUUUAUACUGGUCUCUACUGGUCCAUACUGGUCUAUACUAGUCCAUACUGGCUCAUACCAGUUUUUAGUAGUCCAUACUGGCCCAUACUGGCCCAUACUGGUCUGUACUGCUCCAUACUACUUUAUACUGGUCCAUAUUGGCCCAUACCAAUUUGUAGUGGUCUGUACUGGUCCAUACUAGUCCAUACUGGCCCAUACCGGUUUGUACUGGCCCAUACUGAUUUAUACUGCUCCGUACUGGUCCCUACUGGUUUAUACUGGUCCAUACUGAUCCGUGC